rnacentral:lncRNA from 1 species
GUGGGCCGCCACGGCGCUGGGGAGCAUAGUGCGGCGCCCGCGGGCCGCCUGCGCGCCCGCCUCCAGCUCCGCGCGCCGCACCGGGCCCGCGCCGCUCCCUCCCGCCGCUGCCUCCCGCCGCAGCCUCCCGUGGAACCGGAGCGCGCUGAGCCCGGGAAGGAGGAGAGGGCACCGAGGACGCCAGCAGGCUUGGAGCGAUAUUAUUUUUUGGGGUUGGGCGUUUUCUUAAAGGAUGGGAGGAGUGAAUGUGGGAGGGGGAAGCUGUGCGUGUCUCUGGCCCGCGGCGCAAGCUCUGGGGGCGCCGGGGGAGUCCCUCCCGCUCCCUUUGCAGUUCCGGAUGGUCUCUCUCUCUCUCUCUCUCUCUCUCUCUCUCAGAAGGCUGGAAGGUGUGUCCAGCCCAUCCAUUCAUGUCACCCGGCCCACAAAGUGACAGACGCGGCCAACAAUAAGG